UUUUAUGAGAGUUUGAUCCUGGCUCAGGACGAACGCUGGCGGCGUGCCUAAUACAUGCAAGUAGAACGCUGAAGUCUGGUGCUUGCACUAGACGGAUGAGUUGCGAACGGGUGAGUAACGCGUAGGUAACCUGCCUCAUAGCGGGGGAUAAYUAUUGGAAACGAUAGCUAAUACCGCAUAACAGUAUUUACUGCAUGGUAGAUACUUGAAAGGAGCAAUUGCUUCACUAUGAGAUGGACCUGCGUUGUAUUAGCUAGUUGGUGAGGUAACGGCUCACCAAGGCAUCGAUACAUAGCCGACCUGAGAGGGUGAUCGGCCACACUGGGACUGAGACACGGCCCAGACUCCUACGGGAGGCAGCAGUAGGGAAUCUUCGGCAAUGGGGGCAACCCUGACCGAGCAACGCCGCGUGAGUGAAGAAGGUUUUCGGAUCGUAAAGCUCUGUUGUAAGAGAAGAACUGUGAGAAGAGUGGAAAGUUUCUCACUUGACGGUAUCUUACCAGAAAGGGACGGCUAACUACGUGCCAGCAGCCGCGGUAAUACGUAGGUCCCGAGCGUUGUCCGGAUUUAUUGGGCGUAAAGCGAGCGCAGGCGGUUUGAUAAGUCUGAAGUAAAAGGCUGUGGCUUAACCAUAGUACGCUUUGGAAACUGUCAAACUUGAGUGCAGAAGGGGAGAGUGGAAUUCCAUGUGUAGCGGUGAAAUGCGUAGAUAUAUGGAGGAACACCGGUGGCGAAAGCGGCUCUCUGGUCUGUAACUGACGCUGAGGCUCGAAAGCGUGGGGAGCGAACAGGAUUAGAUACCCUGGUAGUCCACGCCGUAAACGAUGAGUGCUAGGUGUUGGGUCCUUUCCGGGACUCAGUGCCGCAGCUAACGCAUUAAGCACUCCGCCUGGGGAGUACGACCGCAAGGUUGAAACUCAAAGGAAUUGACGGGGGCCCGCACAAGCGGUGGAGCAUGUGGUUUAAUUCGAAGCAACGCGAAGAACCUUACCAGGUCUUGACAUCCCGAUGACCGCCCUAGAGAUAGGGUUUCUCUUCGGAGCAUCGGUGACAGGUGGUGCAUGGUUGUCGUCAGCUCGUGUCGUGAGAUGUUGGGUUAAGUCCCGCAACGAGCGCAACCCCUAUUGUUAGUUGCCAUCAUUCAGUUGGGCACUCUAGCGAGACUGCCGGUAAUAAACCGGAGGAAGGUGGGGAUGACGUCAAAUCAUCAUGCCCCUUAUGACCUGGGCUACACACGUGCUACAAUGGCUGGUACAACGAGUCGCAAGUCGGUGACGGCAAGCUAAUCUCUUAAAGCCAGUCUCAGUUCGGAUUGUAGGCUGCAACUCGCCUACAUGAAGUCGGAAUCGCUAGUAAUCGCGGAUCAGCACGCCGCGGUGAAUACGUUCCCGGGCCUUGUACACACCGCCCGUCACACCACGAGAGUUUGUAACACCCGAAGUCGGUGAGGUAACCUUUUAGGAGCCAGCCGCCUAAGGUGGGAUAGAUGAUUGGGGUGAAGUCGUAACAAGGUAGCCGUAUCGGAAGGKGCGGCUGGAUCACCUCCUUU
rnacentral:rRNA from 1 species